rnacentral:rRNA from 1 species
GCGCGAAAACUUUACAAUGCGAGAAAUCGUGAUAAGGGAACCCCGAGUGCCCGUAAAUUCGGGCUGUCCGCCAGUGUAAAUAACUGGUGAAGAAAGGGCCGGGCAAGACCGGUGCCAGCCGCCGCGGUAAUACCGGCGGCUCGAGUGGUGGCCACUAUUACUGGGCUUAAAGCGUCCGUAGCUGGAUUGUUAAGUCUCUUGGGAAAUCCACCGGCUCAACCGAUGGGCGUUCAGGAGAAACUGGCAAUCUAGGGACCGGGAGAGGUGAGAGGUACUCCAGGGGUAGGAGUGAAAUCCUGUAAUCCUUGGGGGACCACCUGUGGCGAAGGCGUCUCACUAGAACGGCUCCGACAGUGAGGGACGAAAGCUGGGGGAGCAAACCGGAUUAGAAACCCCAGUAG